UUUCGACCUGAACUCAGGUGUGAGCACCUGCUGAACUUAAGCAUAUCAGUAAGCAGAGGAAAAGAAACUAACAAGGAUUCCCUUAGUAACGGCGAGUGAA
rnacentral:rRNA from 1 species